GUAGUCCAUGCCGUAAACGUUGGGAACUAGGCGUAGGGUCCAUUCCACGGAUUCUGUGCCGCAGCUAACGCAUUAAGUUCCCCGCCUGGGGAGUACGGCCGCAAGGCUAAAACUCAAAGGAAUUGACGGGGGCCCGCACAAGCGGCGGAGCAUGCGGAUUAAUUCGAUGCAACGCGAAGAACCUUACCAAGGCUUGACAUAUACCGGAAACCUGCAGAAAUGUAGGCCCCGCAAGGUCGGUAUACAGGUGGUGCAUGGUUGUCGUCAGCUCGUGUCGUGAGAUGUUGGGUUAAGUCCCGCAACGAGCGCAACCCUCGUUCUAUGUUGCCAGCACGUAAUGGUGGGAACUC
rnacentral:rRNA from 1 species